rnacentral:misc_RNA from 1 species
UACUAGUGUUGGUUUGCUACUUGAUCCUAAGGCCAAGCCCCCUCGCGUGACGACCACGCUGGCCACCCGGCAAAAUGCGCCUCACUUGCUAGCACGUCUAGAUCAGCCCGGACGUAGGCAUGUGUAUCGUAUUUUGUCGGGUUUCGAGAUCAAGAAUCGAUGUCCCUUGUUGGUUGGUUUUCCGAGAAUCCUUGACCCUUGAUUUGUUACUUUCGCAUCGUUCGGUGCAUUCUGGGGGAUGUUUUGGCUUUUGGUGGCUUACUUGGCCUUUUGGCUGGGUUUGUUGCUAUUGGCCGGGCAGCUUUCGGGAAUGACGACCGUGGAGGUGCAUGAGUGGUGUUUGGUUUGUUACGUGUGGAUGGCUGUUUGCUUGCGCAACAACGUUCACGCUGCAUACCUCUUCAGUUUUGCGGCAAGGCUUUGUUUGGCUUGUCCAUAUUGUGGGUUUCCUGUGUUGCAUACCUAGUUGAUGGAAAAGUAUGGGUUUUACGAUUUUCAUUUUCGUCCUGCGUCGUUCUUUCGGCAUGGGAUGAGCAAUGAAGCGAUCUUUAUGAUCCACCGUGCUGUUGCGUUUGCAACAAUGAUGUGGCCUAUGAAGCAUCGUUUGGUCUCUUGUAUACGGAAGCUCAUUUGGGCUUGGGUCUUUAUAAGAUCUUCGUUAUGCCCUUGUUAAGCGUUCUCGCUUCUCCUAAACGAUUG